GAAAUAAACCUGAUGGGUUGUUGCUGGUUCUCUAGGGAGCAUGUGCACACUUGUCAUUUUUAUAUCUCCACCUGUGCACCUUUUGUAGACCUUUACAAGUCUAUGUUGCUUUCAUUUACCCCAAUGUAUGUUAAUAGAAUGUUGUGACUAUAAAAUUAUACAACUUUCAGCAACGGAUCUCUUGGCUCU
rnacentral:misc_RNA from 1 species